UCGGGGGUAAUUCAAUCGGCAGAAUGCUCGGCUGUUAACCGAGUCGUUGUGGGUUCGAGUCCCACCCCCGAG
rnacentral:tRNA from 1 species